GCGGGCGAGCGCCUCGCCAACCUGGUCAGGUCCGGAAGGAAGCAGCCACAACGAGCCCCGCUUGGGUCGAUGUC
rnacentral:SRP_RNA from 1 species